rnacentral:lncRNA from 12 species
CGUCUGUGGGUCAAGACUGACAAGGAAGGAUGGGCUCUGGUGCCACAGUUCAUCUCUACCUAGAUAGAAAUUUUGGACCUGUUUGACUGCUACACCAAGAAGAGCAACCGCAAUAAUCAAGAUCUCGUAUAGAGGGCUCUCUUUGGAAAAACGGCAAUCCCAUCCCAAUACCUGGAAGUGAAGCAUGCUGGCAAACACAAUGGUCUUUCAGAACU